rnacentral:rRNA from 1 species
CGAGAGUGGGGGAUAACGAAGCGAAAGCUUUGCUAAUACCGCAUACGAUCUCAGGAUGAAAGCAGGGGACCGCAAGGCCUUGCGCUCACGGAGCGGCCGAUGGCAGAUUAGGUAGUUGGUGGGAUAAAAGCUUACCAAGCCGACGAUCUGUAGCUGGUCUGAGAGGACGACCAGCCACACUGGGACUGAGACACGGCCCAGACUCCUACGGGAGGCAGCAGUGGGGAAUUUUGGACAAUGGGCGCAAGCCUGAUCCAGCCAUGCCGCGUGCAGGAUGAAGGCCUUCGGGUUGUAAACUGCUUUUGUACGGAACGAAAAGACUCUGGUUAAUACCUGGGGUCCAUGACGGUACCGUAAGAAUAAGCACCGGCUAACUACGUGCCAGCAGCCGCGGUAAUACGUAGGGUGCGAGCGUUAAUCGGAAUUACUGGGCGUAAAGCGUGCGCAGGCGGUUAUGUAAGACAGAUGUGAAAUCCCCGGGCUCAACCUGGGAACUGCAUUUGUGACUGCAUAGCUAGAGUACGGCAGAGGGGGAUGGAAUUCCGCGUGUAGCAGUGAAAUGC